rnacentral:rRNA from 1 species
GACGAACGCUGGCGGCGCGCUUAACACAUGCAAGUCGAGCGAAGCGGCGGACGGGUGAGUAACACGUGAGUAACCUGCCUUAGACAUUGGGAUAGCCUCGGGAAACCGGGAUUAAUACCAAAUGGUCUAAGAUGUACUCGCGUCCCAUUAGCUAGCUGGUGAGGUAACGGCACACCAAGGCGACGAUGGGUAGCCGGACUGAGAGGGGGAACGGCAACAUUGGAACUGAGAAACGGUCCAAACUCUACGGGAUGGAGCAGUGGGGAAUAAUGCACAAGGGAGGGAACUCUGAUGCAGCGACGCCGCGUGAACGAAGAAGGCGUUCGAGUCGUAAAGUUCUGUUAUAUGGGAAGCGGUACCAUAAGAAAAAGCCCCGGCUAACUACGUGCCAGCAGCCGCGGUAAUUC